rnacentral:rRNA from 1 species
GGACAAUGGGGGCAACCCUGAUCCAGCAAUGCCGCGUGUGGGAUGAAGGCCUUCGGGUUGUAAACCACUUUUGGCGGGGGCGAAAUAUCGAGUGCUAAUACCAUUCGGUGAUGACGGUACCCGCAGAAUAAGCACCGGCUAACUACGUGCCAGCAGCCGCGGUAAUACGUAGGGUGCAAGCGUUAAUCGGAAUUACUGGGCGUAAAGCGUGCGCAGGCGGUUAAGUAAGACAGGUGUGAAAUUCCCGGGCUCAACCUGGGAACUGCAUUUGUGACUGCUUGACUAGAGUGCGGCAGAGGGGAGUGGAAUUCCGCGUGUAGCAGUGAAAUGCGUAGAUAUGCGGAGGAACACCGAUGGCGAAGGCAACUCCCUGGGCCUGCACUGACGCUCAUGCACGAAAGCGUGGGGAGCAAACAGGAUUAGAUACCCUGGUAGUCCACGCCCUAAACGAUGUCGACUAGUUGUUGGACGGGUUACUGUUCAGUAACGUAGCUAACGCGUGAAGUCGACCGCCUGGGGAGUACGGCCGCAAGGUUAAAACUCAAAGGAAUUGACGGGG